rnacentral:lncRNA from 1 species
CCAGUCACUCUUGUGUUCUCCCAGGUCCCUCAGUGGACUUGGUAGAGUUUGAUUCCCCRUGAGAUGGAUAAGGAGGACCCAUCUUAUGCUCUGGCUGGUGACCGGUUGCAGUGCCUUGUUGACUGACUCCACCGAACCCAGGGAGAGUCUGAAAACACAGAACAGAUCCUGGUGAUCCUGUGUGAUUUAGGAUUGGAUCAUCAGCAGAAGAUAGGAUUUGAGCAGUGAGG